CCCCCUGUGCUGUUUGAGGGACUCCACUGGGGGGUCCCAGACCCCAGGUUGGGAUCCACUGCAAUAGAGCAAUAGAUGUGGUGGAAUGAGAGAUUCUCAUCAUGGAUGUCCAGUCAACAAAUCUGCUGCAACUGUGUGAUGUUAUCAUGCCAAUGUGGACCAAAAUCUCUGAGGAGUGUUUCCAACACUUUAAUGCAUCUAUCACACCAAGAAUAAAGGCAGUUCUGAAG